rnacentral:rRNA from 1 species
CAAUCUGCCUUGGAGUGGGGAAUAACGGCUGGAAACAGCCGCUAAUACCGCAUGAUACAGCUGGGAGGCAUCUCCCUGGCUGUCAAAGAUUUAUCGCUCUGAGAUGAGCUCGCGUCUGAUUAGCUAGUUGGCGGGGUAACGGCCCACCAAGGCGACGAUCAGUAGCCGGACUGAGAGGUUGACCGGCCACAUUGGGACUGAGANACGGCCCAGACUCCUACGGAAGGCAGCAG